rnacentral:rRNA from 1 species
AGAGUUUGAUCCUGGCUCAGGAUGAACGCUGACAGAAUGCUUAACACAUGCAAGUCUACUUGAUCCUUCGGGUGAAGGUGGCGGACGGGUGAGUAACGCGUAAAGAACUUGCCUUACAGACUGGGACAACAUUUGGAAACGAAUGCUAAUACCGGAUAUUAUGAUUGGGUCGCAUGAUCUGGUUAUGAAAGCUAUAUGCGCUGUGAGAGAGCUUUGCGUCCCAUUAGUUAGUUGGUGAGGUAACGGCUCACCAAGACGAUGAUGGGUAGCCGGCCUGAGAGGGUGAACGGCCACAAGGGGACUGAGACACGGCCCUUACUCCUACGGGAGGCAGCAGUGGGGAAUAUUGGACAAUGGACCAAAAGUCUGAUCCAGCAAUUCUGUGUGCACGAUGAAGUUUUUCGGAAUGUAAAGUGCUUUCAGUUGGGAAGAAGUCAGUGACGGUACCAACAGAAGAAGCGACGGCUAAAUACGUGCCAGCAGCCGCGGUAAUACGUAUGUCGCAAGCGUUAUCCGGAUUUAUUGGGCGUAAAGCGCGUCUAGGCGGCUUAGUAAGUCUGAUGUGAAAAUGCGGGGCUCAACCCCGUAUUGCGUUGGAAACUGCUAAACUAGAGUACUGGAGAGGUAGGCGGAACUACAAGUGUAGAGGUGAAAUUCGUAGAUAUUUGUAGGAAUGCCGAUGGGGAAGCCAGCCUACUGGACAGAUACUGACGCUAAAGCGCGAAAGCGUGGGUAGCAAACAGGAUUAGAUACCCUGGUAGUCCACGCCGUAAACGAUGAUUACUAGGUGUUGGUGGGUAUGACCCAUCGGUGCCGCAGCAAACGCAAUAAGUAAUCCACCUGGGGAGUACGUUCGCAAGAAUGAAACUCAAAGGAAUUGACGGGGACCC